rnacentral:rRNA from 1 species
GAUGAACGCUGGCGGCGUGCCUAAUACAUGCAAGUCGAGCGAACAGACGAGGAGCUUGCUCCUCUGACGUUAGCGGCGGACGGGUGAGUAACACGUGGAUAACCUACCUAUAAGACUGGGAUAACUUCGGGAAACCGGAGCUAAUACCGGAUAAUAUAUUGAACCGCAUGGUUCAAUAGUGAAAGACGGUUUUGCUGUCACUUAUAGAUGGAUCCGCGCCGCAUGAGCUAGUUGGUAAGGUAACGGCUUAGCAAGGCAACGAUGCGUAGCCGACCUGAGAGGGUGAUCGGCCACACUGGAGCGGAGACGCGGACCAGGCUCCUACGGGAGGCAGCAGUAGGGAAUCUUCCGCAGUGGGCGAAAGCUUGACGGAGCGACGCCGCGUGAGUGAUGAAGGUCUUCGGAUCGUAAUACUCUGUUAUGAGGGAAGAACAAAUGUGUAAGUAACUAUGCACGUCGUGACGGUACCUGAUCAGAAAGCCACGGCUAACUACGUG